GGGUUACUGGUGUAAUUGGCAACACUAGGGAUUCCAAAUCCCUCAUUUGCGGUUCGAGUCCGUAGUAGCCUGCCA
rnacentral:tRNA from 1 species